CCCAUAAUAGUAUAUAAAGUACAUAUGCUUUUUCAACGCAUAAGAGGUCUUAGACCUUAUGGGU
rnacentral:tRNA from 1 species